UACGAAGGGGGCUAGCGUUGCUCGGAAUCACUGGGCGUAAAGCGCACGUAGGCGGAUUGCUAAGUCAGGGGUGAAAUCCUGGAGCUCAACUCCAGAACUGCCUUUGAUACUGGCGACCUUGAGUCCGGGAGAGGUGAGUGGAACUGCGAGUGUAGAGGUGAAAUUCGUAGAUAUUCGCAAGAACACCAGUGGCGAAGGCGGCUCACUGGCCCGGUACUGACGCUGAGGUGCGAACGCGUGGGGAGCAAACAGG
rnacentral:rRNA from 1 species